GGACAGGUGUCCGAGUGGUCGAAGGAGCAGCAUUGGAAAUGCUGUAUACGGGUAACCGUAUCGAGAGUUCGAAUCUCUCCCUGUCCG
rnacentral:tRNA from 1 species